rnacentral:rRNA from 1 species
CACAUGCAAGUCGAGCGAUGAAGUUCUUCGGAAAUGGAUUAGCGGCGAACGGGUGAGGAACACGUGAAGAAUCUGCCCUCCACUUUGGGAUAACACCGGGAAACCGGUGCUAAUACCGAAUAUUGAAACAUAAGUGGCAUCACUGAGUUUUGAAAGAAUUUCGGUGGAGGAUGACUUCGCGGCCUAUCAGCUAGUUGGUGAGGUAAUGGCUCACCAAGGCAACGACGGGUAGCCGGCCUGAGAGGGCGACCGGCCACACUGGGACUGAGACACGGCCCAGACUCCUACGGGAGGCAGCAGUGGGGAAUAUUGGGCAAUGGAGGAAACUCUGACCCAGCGACGCCGCGUGCCGGGAUGAAGGCCUUCGGGUUGUAAACCGCUUUCAGUAGGGAAGAAGCGAAAGUGAACGGUACCUACAAAAGAAGCACCGGCUAACUAUGUGCC